rnacentral:rRNA from 1 species
AUUGAACGCUGGCGGCAGGCCUAACACAUGCAAGUCGAGCGAGCGGCGGACGGGUGAGUAAUGUCUGGGAAACUGCCUGAUGGAGGGGGGUAACUACUGGAAACGGUAGCUAAUACCCCAUACUACCAGAAGUGCCCGAAUGUGAUUAGCUAGUUGGUGGGGUAAUGGCUCACCCAGGCGACGAUCCCUAGCUGGUCUGAGAGGAUGACCAGCCACACUGGAACGGAGACACGGUCCAGACUCCUACGGGAGGCAGCAGUGGGGAAUAUUGCACAAUGGGCGCAAGCCUGAUGCAGCCAUGCCGCGUGUGUGAAGAAGGCCUUCGGGUCGUAAAGCACUUUCAGCGGGGAGGCGUUACCUGCAGAGGAAGCACCGGCUAACUCCGUGCCAGCAGCCGCGGUAAUAC